CCAAAGGCUCUUUUCAGAGCCACAAAAAGAAAAAAAAAGAAAAAA
rfam:Myotis brandtii contig206987, whole genome shotgun sequence.